GAUGAACGCUGACAGAAUGCUUAACACAUGCAAGUCUACUUGAGCUUCGGUUUGGGUGGCGGACGGGUGAGUCACGCGUAAAGAACUUGCCUCACAGAUAGGGACAACAUUUGGAAACGAAUGCUAAUACCUGAUAUUAUGAUUUUAGGGCAUCCUAGAAUUAUGAAAGCUAUAUGCACUGUGAGAGAGCUUUGCGUCCCAUUAGCUAGUUGGAGAGGUAACGGCUCACCAAGGCGAUGAUGGGUAGCCGGCCUGAGAGGGUGAUCGGCCACAAGGGGACUGAGACACGGCCCUUACUCCUACGGGAGGCAGCAGUGGGGAAUAUUGGACAAUGGACCAAGAGUCUGAUCCAGCAAUUCUGUGUGCACGAUGAAGUUUUUCGGAAUGUAAAGUGCUUUCAGUUGGGAAGAAAAAAAUGACGGUACCAACAGAAGAAGUGACGGCUAAAUACGUG
rnacentral:rRNA from 1 species